GAUGAACGCUGGCGGCGUGCCUAAUACAUGCAAGUCGAGCGAACAGACGAGGAGCUUGCUCCUCUGACGUUAGCGGCGGACGGGUGAGUAACACGUGGAUAACCUACCUAUAAGACUGGGAUAACUUCGGGAAACCGGAGCUAAUACCGGAUAAUAUAUUGAACCGCAUGGUUCAAUAGUGAAAGACGGUUUUGCUGUCACUUAUAGAUGGAUCCGCGCCGCAUUAGCUAGUUGGUAAGGUAACGGCUUACCAAGGCAACGAUGCGUAGCCGACCUGGGAGGGUGAUCGGCCACACUGGAACUGAGACACGGUCCAGACUCCUACGGGAGGCAGCAGUAGGGAAUCUUCCGCAAUGGGCGAAAGCCUGACGGAGCAACGCCGCGUGAGUGAUGAAGGUCUUCGGAUCGUAAAACUCUGUUAUUAGGGAAGAACAAAUGUGUAAGUAACGAUGCACGUCUUGACGGUACCUAAUCAGAAAGCCACGGCUAACUACGU
rnacentral:rRNA from 1 species